rnacentral:lncRNA from 1 species
GAGCUGAACUCUGACAGAUUCAUAUUCUGGAUUCAGACCAUAUAGAAAGUCCUGGACCCGUUCUUCUUCUAAAUAUUUCUGAAAUCCAUCAACAUUGAUGGAGCAUUAUGGAGCAAAAGUUCUAUAAUGAUCAGCUUCGGACCAAAGACGUUUCAACUCGGUGGCAUAUUCAGUGAUAGAUAAAUCUCCCUGACGAAGCUGACGUAAUUGAGAACGGAUCUCAAAUGCUUGAGCAGAAUUCUGCUUCUGUG